UGUCGUUAGCUCAACAACCUAGCAAGGUUUAGUUCAAUUGCUUAAUAGCAGUCUUUAGCUCAGUUAAACUCUAAGGUUUAAGUCUUCAGCUGAAGUGACGAGAGAAAAAAUACAGUGUCACAAUUAAGAAUCAAACCCGUGAGCUUCGGGUUGGUGGUCAAGCGUUGAACCAUCUUUGGCCGCUUUAAUAAAUUAAUUAUCUUAUAAUCUAGAACACAAUUAUGUUUUGUAGAAUUGCGCCGACACUGGAAAUGUACAUUUAACAACCGAUACUAUAUUCUCUCUCAGGCUUAUUGUACAGACCAGUGGUUCUCAAUAAAUAUUCUUACCAUCCGCAUUAAUGCACAUUUUUAAGAUCAGUGGUUCUCAAUAAACAUUCAUACCGGCUGCAUUUUAUAUAUUAGUGGUUCUCAAUAAACAUUCUUACAAGCAACAUUUUAUAUAUCAGUGGUUCUCAAUUUACAUUCUUACAAGCUACAUUUUUUAGAUCAGUGGUCCUCAAUAAACAUUCUUAGCAACAUUUUACAGAUUUUACAGUUCUUAAAAAAACAUUUUUAAUGAUCAGUGGUUCUCAAUAAACAUUCUAACCAGCAGGAUUUAUGCAAAUUUUACACAUCAGUACACAUCAUAAAUAUAAAAUAGACAAAAAAAAGACACA